rnacentral:rRNA from 1 species
UGGGGAAUUUUGGACAAUGGGCGAAAGCCUGAUCCAGCAAUGCCGCGUGUGUGAAGAAGGCCUUCGGGUUGUAAAGCACUUUUGUCCGGAAAGAAAUCCUUGGCUCUAAUACAGUCGGGGGAUGACGGUACCGGAAGAAUAAGCACCGGCUAACUACGUGCCAGCAGCCGCGGUAAUACGUAGGGUGCAAGCGUUAAUCGGAAUUACUGGGCGUAAAGCGUGCGCAGGCGGUUUGCUAAGACCGAUGUGAAAUCCCCGGGCUCAACCUGGGAACUGCAUUGGUGACUGGCAGGCUAGAGUAUGGCAGAGGGGGGUAGAAUUCCACGUGUAGCAGUGAAAUGCGUAGAGAUGUGGAGGAAUACCGAUGGCGAAGGCAGCCCCCUGGGCCAAUACUGACGCUCAUGCACGAAAGCGUGGGGAGCAAACAGGAUUAGAUACCCUGGUAGUCCACGCCCUAAACGAUGUCAACUAGUUGUUGGGGAUUCAUUUCCUUAGUAACUAGCUAACGCGUGAAGUUGACCGCCUGGGGAGUACGGUCGCAAGAUUAAAACUCAAAUGAAUUG